rnacentral:rRNA from 1 species
CCUACGUGUGGCAGCAGUGGGGAAUAUUGCGCAAUGGGCGAAAGCCUGACGCAGCGACGCCGCGUGAGGGAUGAAGGUCUUCGGAUCGUAAACCUCUGUCAGCAGGGAAGAACGGUCACUGUGCUAAUCAGCAGUGAAUUGACGGUACCUGCAAAGGAAGCACCGGCUAACUCCGUGCCAGCAGCCGCGGUAAUACGGAGGGUGCGAGCGUUAAUCGGAAUUACUGGGCGUAAGGCGCUCGAAGGAGGUAUGUAAAGUCAAGGGUGAAAUCCCCGCGCUCAACGUGGGAACUGCCUUUGAAACUGGCAAACUGGAGUGUGUGAGAGGAUAGUGGAAUUCCAGGUGUAGGAGUGAAAUCCGUAGAGAUCUGGAGGAACAUCAGUGGCGAAGGCGACUAUCUGGCACAUAACUGACGCUGAGGAGCGAAAGCGUGGGUAGCAAACAGGAUUAGAUACCCUGGUAGUC